rnacentral:rRNA from 1 species
GACGUAGGGUGCGAGCGUUGUCCGGAAUUACUGGGCGUAAAGAGCUCGUAGGUGGUUUGUCGCGUUGUCCGUGAAAACUCACAACUCAAUUGUGGGCGUGCGGGCGAUACGGGCAGACUGGAGUACUGCAGGGGAGACUGGAAUUCCUGGUGUAGCGGUGGAAUGCGCAGAUAUCAGGAGGAACACCAAUGGCGAAGGCAGAUCUCUGGGCCGUAACUGACGCUGAGGAGCGAAAGCAUGGGGAGCGAACAGG